rnacentral:rRNA from 1 species
GCAAGUUCGAGCGGACAGAAGGGGAAGCUUGCUCCCGGAUGUUAGCGGCGGACGGGUGAGUAACACGUGGGUAACCUGCCUGUAAGACUGGGAUAACUCCGGGAAACCGGAGCUAAUACCGGAUAGUUCCUUGAACCGCAUGGUUCAAGGAUGAAAGACGGUUUCGGCUGUCACUUACAGAUGGACCCGCGGCGCAUUAGCUAGUUGGUGGGGUAAUGGCUCACCAAGGCGACGAUGCGUAGCCGACCUGAGAGGGUGAUCGGCCACACUGGGACUGAGACACGGCCCAGACUCCUACGGGAGGCAGCAGUAGGGAAUCUUCCGCAAUGGACGAAAGUCUGACGGAGCAACGCCGCGUGAGUGAUGAAGGUUUUCGGAUCGUAAAGCUCUGUUGUUAGGGAAGAACAAGUGCGAGAGUAACUGCUCGCACCUUGACGGUACCUAACCAGAAAGCCACGGCUAACUACGUGCCAGCAGCCGCGGUAAUACGUAGGUGGCAAGCGUUGUCCGGAAUUAUUGGGCGUAAAGGGCUCGCAGGCGGUUUCUUAAGUCUGAUGUGAAAGCCCCCGGCUCAACCGGGGAGGGUCAUUGGAAACUGGGAAACUUGAGUGCAGAAGAGGAGAGUGGAAUUCCACGUGUAGCGGUGAAAUGCGUAGAGAUGUGGAGGAACACCAGUGGCGAAGGCGACUCUCUGGUCUGUAACUGACGCUGAGGAGCGAAAGCGUGGGGAGCGAACAGGAUUAGAUACCCCUGGUAGUCCACGCCGUAAACGAUGAGUGCUAAGUGUUUAAGGGGGUUUCCGCCCCUUAGUGCUGCAGCUAACGCAUUAAGCACUCCGCCCUGGGGGAGUACGGUCGCAAGACUGAAACUCAAGGAAUUGACGGGGGCCCGCACAAGCGGUGGAGCAUGGUGGUU